UCGGGGAGUUCUAGUAGCUGUUUAGGGUAAGGUGUAGGAAAAUAUUUGAAAGUCAUUCUUCUAACCAGUUUGCUUCUUGGUUCUUAAGCAACCAAGUGGAUCUAAGUGAGCCACUUUGUGAACAGUCCAGUUUCCAUAUUGAUGAGCACAGAAUACAGAAUCUUUCCAAAAACUUUGUACUGCACAGUUAAUAUGACCUGAGGAAGAGGAGAUUUUUAAGACCCCUGGCACCAUUAUUUUCCCUUAGUAUUAAUCCUUUUCUGAAGCUAGUAGCAGGACAAACAUCUCACUGGUGAUUUAUAACACUACCUGAUGUUGAUUCAAUUUUGUGCCAGCCUAAGACUGAAUUUCCAAUUAGAUAGGACAAGGUGAAAAGAACUACAGAACUUAGUAAUUAAGGGCACAAACACUGGAGUCAGACAGCCUUGUGUAAAAAUCCUGGGACUGCCAUCAUAUUAAUGUGUGACUUCAACCAAGUUAUUCUAUUGCUCUGGGCCUUAGUUUCCUUUUCUGUAAAAUGGGUACAAUUAUGGCAUCUAAGUCAUAGGUGGGGAUUCCGUGAGGAUUAAAGGAAACAUCUCUUAAGCAUUUGCAAUGCCUGGCACAUUGAGAUUAAUGAAUGACAAUUUUUAGUGAGGUUGUUCAUGUUCAAUUGUCAUUAAGUUAUGUUGUUUCUAUACCCAACCACAAAUGAUAAUCAAGGCUGUGAGCUAAGGAAAUCACAGAGGCUUUUAUGGGCUUUGCGACCAGAGGUGAUAAUAUGUGAUUCUAAGGAGGAUCGGAACUCAUUAACAGAACCACUUUCAAGAUUAGUUACCAUCCAACAGGGAGAAAUGGCUUCGAAUAGUCCUUUUUGCUUUUGUAGUAUUAUAAGGAUUUUCGGUGAGCCACGCUUGGCAUUUAUUCAGUAACUUUCACCAAAGAAGCUCAAAACCAGUCACAGAAAAGAAACUGAAAAACCUUGAGACUCAGAAAAGUAAUGCUGCCUGAUUGGACAGCUAGAAAGUAUGGAAGGCCAGACGUGGCUCUGAUCACGAUAUGGAUGUGAAUACAGUGGAAAUGAGAUCUUUCUGACAUUUCUAAGUGUUUUGUUCCUCUGGCUUCAGAGACGGGUAGAUGACAGCACUAAGGAAAAAGAGGACGGGAGGCCCAGUGACUGUUUGAGGAAGCACAGAGAAGGCCUCAGAGGUCUGGUUUAGCAAAGGGAGAGGUAAGGGUGGCAAAGACAGGUCCGCAGAUGGAGCUGACAAGCGCUUCUAGACAGGAAAUGACACUGGAGCAGUUCGGGCUGGCAUCUGGUAAGGUUCGUGCUGUUUCCACCAUGUGGUUUGGAAGAACCAUGCCAUCUGGCAACUUCCUCCCAGAAGCAUGAGUUAGUUCGGUUCUUAGCAGCCCUUUCGGCCACAUGGGCUCUUUCACUAAAAUAUAACUCAACCGACAGAUUGCGGAACGGGUAUGGAGGUCUCGAAACCCCUCUAGAGAUUGCCAGAGCCUCUGCAGAAAACGCUCACACCCUCCACGGUCCCCAGUCCCGGCGGAAGCGCCCCUCCCCCGGAUCUCGGCUCCGCCCCGCGGCGCGCGAGCGUGUCGUCACCGCAACCGGCCAAUCAGGGCGCGUGACCAAAAUAGCGCCGUAUAAAGGCGUGCAGGCCUAAGCCGCUUUCUCAGAGCCGCGCGCUGGGGCGGGGUUGCGCGCGCAGGUGAGCGGGGCGGAGCCGGCCCACACCUGCUUCCGCGGGAAGUGGGCCGGGAAUGCAGUCGGCCGGGCCUCCUGCGCUCGCUGAACUUGCAGUGUCUGUGUAACACCGACGCAACUGGGCUCUAGUUCAUUAGAAGUCGUCACUACUCUCCCAACUGGUUUGCAAUUCGGAAAGAAGCGCCGACCGCAAACUGCGGCUUGCGUAAUCAAAGGGCAUGUUUAAAGAGCCGACCACAACCUAGUUUCCAGUGAUGACUCCUUGUCCCGCAGGAGAACAUGUUAAUUUAGCAGGCUCUAAGCCGUGCAGGAAGUCCAAGGGGUAUAACAACAUAAUAACUUGCGCAGAUCUUAAGAGGACACGUAGGUGAACUUUCCUGUAUGUAUACACAUGUAAUCAGCUCCCAGAUCAAGCUGUAGGACAUUUCAAUCACCCCAGGUUUCCAACUGCUCCUACCAAGUCAAUGCUUAUCACCGCAGAGAGAGAACCAUUUUGUGUUCCCAUCAGCAGUGUGAGAGUUCCGGUUGCUCUGUAUCUUCAUCAGUACUCGAUUUAUUUAUUUAUGAGAGAGAGACCAGGGGGAGGGGCAGAAGGAAAGAAUCCCAAACAGACUUCCUGCAGCGUGUGGAGCGGACACGGGGCUCGAGGCCACAACCCAGAGAUCACAACCUGAGCUGAAAUCAAGAGUCAGACACUCAACCGGCCGAGCCACUCAGGCGCCCCCUCCCUUUUAAUUUUCUGUUGAAUUUUUCAUUGUAUCUCUUUGUACGUGUUUGUAAUGGUUGCUCUAGGGAUUAUAAUGUACAGACUUAACAUUGCACAGCCUAAUUAGAACUCGUAUUUUAUCACUUCAGUUGAAUGUCGAUACAUUACUACCAUAUAGAUCUCUUCAUGUUGGAAUAUCUUUUUCUUUGGAUCUUCUGAGUUUUACUUUGCAAUGUCUGUUUUUGUGGCUGCCUCCCUAAGUCCUCUCUCUGCUGGGGAGUAGCCUACAGCCUGGCGUCCUCAUCCCCGUUCUCCCUUAUCUGUCCUGCACAGAUCCAUCUCCCUGAAGUACAUUCUCAGCUUAUCAUUGGGCUGCUCAGAGUAUUUAUUUGACGCUUUAUCGCUUAGAACAUAAAAUCCAAAUUAAUCAGCUGCUCUUCCGUCUCCUGCCAUCCCAUCCAUCCUAUCAGGAAAUGCAUCUUGAGCUGCUCUCUAGCCUCUGGGGAGAAGGAGCUCCACCUAAAUUCUCUGCUCCAGCCAGAUGGCUUUCAUCAUAGUCCUGCCUCCAAGUUCUUGCAAACUAUCUCCUUGCCUGUCCCAACUCUGUGCAAAUUUCCAGGACUCCAUAAGCCACUUCCUGCAGAGAGGCCCCUUGGGCAUCCCAGGUCACCUCAGCCUUUCUUUUCAGUAGCACGUGAUCACCAAACUGAGUAUAGAAUGGAGUCAAAUCAACAUUGACAUGAUUUU